GCCGGAGUGGUGAAACUGGUAGACGCGCUGGACUCAAAAUCCAGUGGGCUUUAUGCCCAUGCGAGUUCGAUUCUCGCCUCCGGCACCA
rnacentral:tRNA from 2 species